GGACGGCCAAAUUCCUCCCAGCGCAGGACUGAGGAGCUUGGAUUUGAUCCAUUGGGAGCUAGGGAGCCAUGGGAAGACCGCGAGAGACUAACCCGAUGGGAUUUGUGUGUUUGGAAGAGCCUUUGGGUGGAAGCUAGAAAGACUGAUGCUCGUGUCCCAGUGUCUGGAACGCAUGCCCAACAUGGGGCUUGGACUCCCAACCUUGAGAUCAAGAGUUGCAUGUUCUCCUGCCUGAGCCAUCCAGAGACUCCUGUUGAAUGGUUUUUUAAAAUACGAUUGAAUUCUUUAACCCAUUUCCUGAUUCAUUUAGCAUUUAUUGAGCACCUAACAUACACCAGGCACUGUGAGGGUCCCUGAGGGGUCACAAUGCCUGCCAUCCUGAGCCACAAGGCUGAGAGGCAGAGAGAGACUUUCAAGAGACAGAGAGCAAGUAGGGGG